rnacentral:rRNA from 1 species
UAGGGAAUUUUGCACAAUGGACGAAAGUCUGAUGCAGCGACACCGCGUGCAGGAAGAAGGCCUUCGGGUUGUAAACUGCUUUUAUCUUGGACAAUUAUGAUGGUACAAGAAGAAUAAGCUCCGGCUAACUACGUGCCAGCAGCCGCGGUAAUACGUAGGGAGCAAGCGUUAUCCGGAAUCACUGGGCGUAAAGCGGGUGUAGGCGGCGAAGAAAGUCUUCAUUGAAAGACCGAGGCUCAACUUCGGGAUCGAUGAGGAAACUUCUUUGAUAGAGGACUCAAGAGGCAGGUGGAAUUUCCGGUGUAGAGGUGGAAUUCGUAGAUAUCGGAAGGAACGCCAAUUGCGAAGGCAGCCUGCUGGGGAGUUCCUGACGCUCAGACCCGAAAGCGUAGGGAGAGAACGGG